UACUUUUGGGCCAUAAUUGAACAUUUCAAAUUGUCUAUUGGGCCUUAUUUCAAAUUACUUACCGCCCUUAAGAGCCCAAAACUCUGGUUAUCAUUUUCAGUUACAUUUUUAUUAAUUUCUCCCUAUCCAGCCGCAAUUCUCGAUUUUUCUCAUCCUCAGCCACACAUUUUAAUUCUUAGGGAGCAAGUAUUUGUCCUCAGCCACAAAUUUCACUUUCAAAUCCUUGAAGAGCAAGAAAUUCACCCUAUUUAAACUUCAAUUCAUCCCCAAUUCGUUUUUUUUCCUCAUCUGUGCACUUCACCGUAUAAACUCAAUCGGCUACUUCUCACUGCACAUCAUCAAUUGGUGCGGCGCGACUAGGAACGUGAACUUUAAAUUCUCGCAGUUAAUUUCAAGUUCAAGUUACAGUUAUAUCGCUAGGGGCCCGCUCAAUGGGUCCAGGACUUCACCGUCCUUGGUAUGCCACAAUGCGAUUUCAUGUUACAGUUAAGGUUGCAACCUAUUCGCCAGGGGCCUGCUCAAUGGGUCCAGGACUUUAAAGUCCUUGGUAUGCCACCGUGCGAAUUUCAGUUAUCAGUACAGUGCAGUGCGUAUGUGUUGACCAUUUUAUUAACGUGGACAAUUAUUGCAUGUUUCCCACACUGAGUAUAUUUCAUAUGCUCAUCCCAUAUUUAACAUUUUCAGGUAACUAAGGUUGGAGACGCGUGGAGGAUCGAAUGGGCGCG